CCUACGGGAGGCAGCAGUGGGGAAUCUUAGACAAUGGGGGCAACCCUGAUCUAGCCAUGCCGCGUGAGUGAUGAAGGCCUUAGGGUCGUAAAGCUCUUUCGCCUGUGAUGAUAAUGACAGUAGCAGGUAAAGAAACCCCGGCUAACUCCGUGCCAGCAGCCGCGGUAAUACGGAGGGGGUUAGCGUUGUUCGGAAUUACUGGGCGUAAAGCGCACGUAGGCGGACUAUUAAGUCAGAGGUGAAAUCCCGGGGCUCAACCCCGGAACUGCCUUUGAUACUGGUAGUCUAGAGUUCGAGAGAGGUGAGUGGAAUUCCAAGUGUAGAGGUGAAAUUCGUAGAUAUUUGGAGGAACACCAGUGGCGAAGGCGGCUCACUGGCUCGAUACUGACGCUGAGGUGCGAAAGUGUGGGGAGCAAACAGGAUUAGAUACCCUGGUAGUCCACACCGUAAACGAUGAAUGCCAGUCGUCGGGUAGUAUACUAUUCGGUGACACACCUAACGGAUUAAGCAUUCCGCCUGGGGAGUACGGUCGCAAGAUUAAAACUCAAAGGAAUUGACGGA
rnacentral:rRNA from 1 species